rnacentral:rRNA from 1 species
CAGCCGCCACGGGAAUACGAAGGGGGCUAGCGUUGUUCGGAAUAACUGGGCGUAAAGGGCGCGUAGGCGGAUCUUUAAGUCAGGGGUGAAAUCCCAAGGCUCAACCUUGGAACUGCCUCUGAUACUGGAGAUCUUGAGUCCGGGAGAGGUGAGUGGAACUGCGAGUGUAGAGGUGAAAUUCGUAGAUAUUCGCAAGAACACCAGUGGCGAAGGCGGCUCACUGGCCCGGUACUGACGCUCAUGCACGAAAGCGUGGGGAGCAAACAGGAUUAGAUACCCGUGUAGUCCCUGUCUCUUAUAC